rnacentral:rRNA from 1 species
UACGGAGGAUGCAAGCGUUAUCCGGAAUGAUUGGGCGUAAAGCGUCCGCAGGUGGCAAUGUAAGUCUGCUGUCAAAGCGUCUGGCUCAACCAGAUAAAGGCAGUGGAAACUACAUAGCUAGAGUAAGGUAGGGGUAGAGGGAAUUCCUGGUGUAGCGGUGAAAUGCGUAGAGAUCAGGAAGAACACCGGUGGCGAAAGCGCUCUGCUGGACCUUAACUGACACUGAGGAGCGAAAGCCAGGGGAGCAAACGGG